rnacentral:rRNA from 1 species
GACGAACGCUGGCGGCGUGCUUAACACAUGCAAGUCGAACGGUAAGGCCUUCGGGUACACGAGUGGCGAACGGGUGAGUAACACGUGGGUGAUCUGCCCCCUACUCUGGGAUAAGCCUGGGAAACUGGGUCUAGUACCGGAUAUGACCUCCUUCUGCAUGGUUGGUGGUGGAAAGUUUUUUCGGUAGGGGAUGAGCCCGCGGCCUAUCAGCUUGUUGGUGGGGUAAUGGCCUACCAAGGCGACGACGGGUAGCCGGCCUGAGAGGGCGACCGGCCCCACUGGGACUGGGACACGGCGCAGACUCCUACGGGGGGCAGCAGUGGGGAAUAUUGCACAAUGGGCGAAAGCCUGAUGCAGCGACGCCGCGUGGGGGAUGACGGCCUUCGGGUUGUAAACCCCUUUCAGUCGGGACGAAGCGAGAGUGACGGUACCUGCAGAAAAAGGACCGGCUAACUACGUGCCAGCCGCCGCCGUAAGAC